rnacentral:ncRNA from 2 species
UCCUUAUCAAGAGUGAUGGAGGGUAUGGGCCCUAUGAAAUCCAGCAACCAGUAUUAUACAAGGUGCUAAAUCCCACAGAACCAGGUUCUGAGAGAUGAGGU